CUUUCGCUGGCGUUCCUCCCGCUUUCCUUCCUCGGUUUCUUGAUUCGACUGGGGUAUUAUAAUUUCACACGUCCUUUGAAUGCUUCAAGAGUCAGCAUUUCCCAAAGAAGCCAUCUAAUGAGAGGAGGAACAGCCCAACAUGUCCAGCACUCUAUAUAUAAUAAGACCGCACAAAAAGUGCAACCAUACCAAAACACGCUUUCGUUGUUUGUUUCUUCUCUCGUCCCGCGGAAUCUGUAAUUCUUUUUCGGUUAUGUGACGAAUACCGCGUACUCCGCCAAUCGACAUCGCUCGCGGGCCGUAACCCGACGAAGGAAAGAUUGUAUAGAUUCGGAAAAGCGGAGGAGAAUUCCGGCGAGAUUUUCCGGUGUCGGAACCGGGAUUAGCUGUUCUUCCUCAGAUCCUUAUCUGGUCGUCGUGAGCUCUUCUGUUUCACUGUCGCCAUCACUGGUACAGGAGCCAUGGUUCUUGACGCGGUCGUGUCUUCGCCUGUGAGAAAGCCUCAGUCUCUGAAGAAACAGUGGGAUGAGUUGGGAAGCUGUUCCACGGUCGUCCAGAGGCAUCGGUUCCUCUUGACGGCUCUGGCUCUUCUGGCAUUCCUCUGCACCGUUUAUCUCUAUUUCGCCGUCACCUUAGGCUCGAUGCACUCGUGUGCCGGUCUCUCUGGUAAAGACAAGGCAAUGUGCCAGCUUGAACGUGCCCACACCACCAUCACCAAAGGAAAGCUGAAAUUUUUGUAGAUUUCUGAAGCUUUUUUUUUUAUAUAGGGUUUCAGCCAAAGCUGAAAAGCAUUGUUCUUUGAACGGCCAUUCUUUUUCCUUCUCUCUCUCUGCACAAAUUUGUGUGUAUUGCGUGAUGAAAUGAUAUACAACAAUGUUUCAAUACAGCAGAGGGAGCCCAUUCCAGAUUCAUUUGUGUGUAUUGCAUACGAAACAUUAUGAGUUUGAACAA